AUUGAACGCUGGCGGCAGGCCUAACACAUGCAAGUCGAGCGAGCGGCGGACGGGUGAGUAAUGUAUGGGGACUGCCCGAUAGAGGGGGAUAACUACUGGAAACGGUGGCUAAUACCGCAUACUAUCGGAUAACCCAUAUGGGAUUAGCUAGUAGGUGGGGUAAAGGCUCACCUAGGCUCCGAUCCCUAGCUGGUCUGAGAGUAUGAUCAGCCACACUGGGACAGGGACAGGGCCCGGACUCCUACGGAGGAGGCAGUGGGGAAUAUUGCACAAUGGGCGCAAGCCUGAUGCAGCCAUGCCGCGUGUAUGAAGAAGGCCUUAGGGUUGUAAAGUACUUUCAGCGGGGAGGCGUUACCCGCAGAAGAAGCACCGGCUAACUCCGUGCCAGCAGCCGCGGUAAUAC
rnacentral:rRNA from 1 species